rnacentral:rRNA from 1 species
CGCGCAGGCGGUCUUGUCCUCGGGUGUGAAAGCUCGGGGCUCAACCCCGGAAGUGCACUUGAAACAGCAAGACUUGAAUACGGGAGAGGAGAGAGGAAUUCCUGGUGUAGAGGUGAAAUUCGUAGAUAUCAGGAGGAACACCGAUGGCGAAGGCAUCUCUCUGAACCGAUAUUGACGCUGAGGCGCGAAGGCGUGGGUAGCGAACG